AGAGUUUGAUCCUGGCUCAGGAUGAACGCUAGCGGCAGGCUUAAUACAUGCAAGUCGAGGGGCAGCAUGAGUGUAGCAAUACAUUUGAUGGCGACCGGCAAACGGGUGCGGAACACGUACACAACCUUCCUAUAAGUGGGGAAUAGCCCAGAGAAAUUUGGAUUAAUACCCCGUAACAUAAUGAUGUGGCAUCACAUUAUUAUUAUAGCUACGGCGCUUAUUGAUGGGUGUGCGGCUGAUUAGAUAGUUGGCGGGGUAACGGCCCACCAAGUCUACGAUCAGUAGCUGAUGUGAGAGCAUGAUCAGCCACACGGGCACUGAGACACGGGCCCGACUCCUACGGGAGGCAGCAGUAAGGAAUAUUGGUCAAUGGACGCAAGUCUGAACCAGCCAUGCCACGUGAAGGAUUAAGGUCCUCUGGAUUGUAAACUUCUUUUAUCUGGGACGAAAAAAGGCGAUUCUUCGUCACUUGACGGUACCAGAUGAAUAAGCACCGGCUAACUCCGUGCCAGCAGCCGCGGUAAUACGGAGGGUGCAAGCGUUAUCCGGAUUCACUGGGUUUAAAGGGUGCGUAGGCGGGUAGGUAAGUCAGUGGUGAAAUCCUGGAGCUUAACUCCAGAACUGCCAUUGAUACUAUCUAUCUUGAAUAUUGUGGAGGUAAGCGGAAUAUGUCAUGUAGCGGUGAAAUGCUUAGAUAUGACAUAGAACACCUAUUGCGAAGGCAGCUUACUACGCAUAUAUUGACGCUGAGGCACGAAAGCGUGGGGAUCAAACAGGAUUAGAUACCCUGGUAGUCCAA
rnacentral:rRNA from 1 species